rnacentral:rRNA from 1 species
CGACGGAGGGGGCUAGCGUUGUUCGGAAUUACUGAGCGUAAAGCGCGCGUAGGCGGAUUGAUCAGUCAGAGGUGAAAUCCCAGGGCUCAACCCUGGAACUGCCUUUGAUACUGUCAAUCUUGAGUUCGAGAGAGGUGAGUGGAAUUCCGAGUGUAGAGGUGAAAUUCGUAGAUAUUCGGAGGAACACCAGUGGCGAAGGCGGCUCACUGGCUCGAUACUGACGCUGAGGUGCGAAAGCGUGGGGAGCAAACAGGAUUAGAAACCCUAGUAGUCC